AGAACGAACGCUGGCGGCAUGCCUAACACAUGCAAGUCGAACGAGACCUUCGGGUCUAGUGGCGCACGGGUGCGUAACGCGUGGGAAUCUGCCCUUGGGUUCGGAAUAACAGUUGGAAACGACUGCUAAUACCGGAUGAUGACGUAAGUCCAAAGAUUUAUCGCCCAGGGAUGAGCCCGCGUAGGAUUAGCUAGUUGGUGAGGUAAAGGCUCACCAAGGCGACGAUCCUUAGCUGGUCUGAGAGGAUGAUCGAGCCACACGUGGGACUGGAGACGACGGCCCAGACCUCCGUACGGGAGCAGCAGGUGGGAAUAGUUAGGACAAGUGGGACGAAAGCCUGACUCCGAGACAAUCGCCG
rnacentral:rRNA from 1 species